CUGCUUUUAAGAUGAAAUUGUUCGAAGUACAGGGACGGCCCAAAACUGUGCAUUUUCGUCGUCGAAAAGGCAUUAUAAUGCAAUUGGAAAAGCCUAACUUUAUGGAGCUGUCUUGUAAUGCAGUAACUGUGCAAGUCAAGCAGGGCAAUGUUAUGGAAGAUACUGUUGAUAUUAUUGUGAAUACUGUUGACCCACAACUCAAUAUGGGGGUGCUUGGCAAGCAUUUAGUAAAAGCUGGAGGUAACGAUAUCAAGAAAGAACUACAAACUAAAAAGAGACAUGCACAG